rnacentral:rRNA from 1 species
CAUGGCUCAGGAUGAACGCUAGCUACAGGCUUAACACAUGCAAGUCGAGGGGCAGCGGGUUGAAAGCUUGCUUUCAAUGCCGGCGACCGGCGCACGGGUGCGUAACGCGUAUCAAACCUGCCUCAUACUCGGGGAUAGCCUUGCGAAAGUAAGAUUAAUACCCGAUGUUGUUGCUUUCUCGCAUGGGAGAGUAACCAAAGAUUUAUCGGUAUGAGAUGGUGAUGCGUCCGAUUAGGUAGUAGGCGGGGUAACGGCCCACCUAGCCUUCGAUCGGUAGGGGUUCUGAGAGGAAGGUCCCCCACACUGGAACUGAGACACGGUCCAGACUCCUACGG